rnacentral:rRNA from 1 species
GAUGAACGCUGGCGGCGUGCCUAAUACAUGCAAGUCGAGCGAACGGACGAGAAGCUUGCUUCUCUGAUGUUAGCGGCGGACGGGUGAGUAACACGUGGAUAACCUACCUAUAAGACUGGGAUAACUUCGGGAAACCGGAGCUCAUACCGGAUAAUAUUUUGAACCGCAUGGUUCAAAAGUGAAAGACGGUCUUGCUGUCACUUAUAGAUGGAUCCGCGCUGCAUUAGCUAGUUGGUAAGGUAACGGCUUACCAAGGCAACGAUGCAUAGCCGACCUGAGAGGGUGAUCGGCCACACUGGAACUGAGACACGGUCCAGACUCCUACGGGAGGCAGCAGUGGGGAAUCUUCCGCAAUGGGCGAAAGCCUGACGGAGCAACGCCGCGUGAGUGAUGAAGGUCUUCGGAUCGUAAAACUCUGUUAUUAGGGAAGAACAUAUGUGUAAGUAACUGUGCACAUCUUGACGGUACCUAAUCAGAAAGCCACGGCUAACUACGUG